rnacentral:misc_RNA from 1 species
UCAUACACGCCGUGCCCUGGGCUGGGAGGAAGGUUAUUUGUAUAAGAAUAUCUCUCUAAUAACACAGUAGUCCCUCACGAUGGAAUUCAAGGAAAAAUACACGAUGUAAGAAGUCUUAAGUCUAUUCAGUUUUUUAGUUAGCUGUGUAGGUAAUUUUUGUUAUGACAACAUACUGCAACACUCUGUAAGUGAUGGGUCACUCAAGUGUCCAUUUGUAUAAAUAUUUCUCCCUAUAAUCAAGAUGGAAUUCACGGAAAAAGACAUGCUACAAAGAUGAUACUUCAAGUCAUAGUAGUGCUAAGUCAAGACAGUCUUGGAGAUCGGCCUGUGUUCGCUCAAGAGCAAGAACAGCUUACACAACAGCACAACAACUUGAACUAGAAAAAGAAUUCCUUUACAGUCGCU